rnacentral:lncRNA from 1 species
AGUUGCGUCCCUAAAUGCGCGGCUGGCCUGAGCUAAAGGAGCAGCUCGUCACCGUGCGAGCCGAGACCAGCGUUGGGGUUCUGGGUCACCUCUUUUCUCUCGGCUUUUCCCUCGCUCUCCGGUUCCUGAAUUAGCUGUUUGUUUAUGGCUCCAGAAGUGUGUGUGCCAGCGAGCCGAGGCAGCGCGCAAGGGAGAGAAUUGAUCUUUCCUCAGACUCAAAGCUGGAGCCGAAGAAGUGCGGGGGAUUUGGGGGUUCUGAGUGGGACUCAGACCCUAGGUGCUGAGGGGAAGCCCGUGGGCUCUCUGGCCCGCUUCUCUAACCCCAGCGACCUUGCAGGAAUCCUCAGGCCUGAGAGCGCCCGGGCUCUGGGCUUUGCAGAAAGUGGCGGCGGUUGUGUCCCGGGUUUUAAAAUCAACGCAAAGGAAAGGAGGCAAAGCUGAAAGCUUGUCGCGUGUCAGAAGCAGCCUGCCGUGAAAUCCGCUAAUGCGCCCCGACUCGCCCUUCGCGAAUUCUAUUGACCAUGGCUUUCGUCGGAGAGAGAAUUCUAACUACUGCUGCUCUGGGCUCAGAGCUGAGGCUGGAAACAAGUAAAUCUAGCAAGAAUUGAUGGAGACAUGCUGGUGAUUGGAGCCACGUGGCCUUGCAUAGAAACCUGCUUUUUUACUCUGCCUGCCUUGCUCCAAUUCAGGAAAAAGGUCGGCCCCUUUGGAACAGAUUUGCUUACUUGGAAGGUUGGAUAUACAUUUGGCAAGUUCUUUCCAGCUCUAGCCAGGCUGGGGGAGAAAAUGAGACAAUGGAAGAUUGCUCCACAGGCUUUUGGUCAAAGCUAACCCAAGGCAGGAAUACUUGAAGAAAUAUUAAACCAGACCUUUUGAUUCUGCCACACGAAGAUCAUGUCCUAAAUUUCAACCCCACACCCACUCCUUCAAGACUCUAGGGCAUUACAGAGCUGCUAGAGUGGAGAUGGUACCCUGAGAUCUGAGUCUGGUUGGCAGUGGGCACCCAGCCUCCACGACCAGAGCCACAGCCAUAGUGUCCAACUGUGUGAAGAAGGAGCCUGUGCCCAGAGAAUAUCUGAUCUUUGAUUCUGGAACUCACAGCUCCAGGUGGCUGGAGAGAGUCCCUAAAAGAGGCUGGAGAAGCGGGCAAUGAGAAAGACCAGGUGAGUCCCCCAGGAAGCCAGUCACGGAGUCUGCAUUCCUGUUGCAAGAAGCUGAUGCUGGAGACCCAAAAACUUGACCUGCCAAAGGGUGCUUACCCGUCUCCCUCCUGGCCUAGUAAGGGACCUCCACCUCACCUCCUCACUGCCUCCAUCUGGGAGAAAGUCACCUCGACUCAAAAGAAAGCAAGUCUAAGUGAAUCAGACCACAGAACGUCAGAUUUCCAAGAAACAAGCAACUCAUACCCUUCUCCCUCAGCCCUGACACCUAGAGAGUCCUUGGAAGGGAUGGCUGGCAGGGCUUUCAUUUCAACAAGUACUGGGAGCUAAACCUUCUAGGCCGCUUUCCAGAGCAGCAACAAGAACAUAAAGGGAAGCAAUUAACGGUUUUCUAAAUGAGUCCCAGCUUGUGCCGCCUGACUCCAAACCUAAAGGUGCAUCUAAGGGUGCUAAGGGACCGGGAUAGGUAGUAGUUGUUUUUGUUUGGUUGGUUGGUUGGUUGGUUUUCUAAUGAUACUGUUAAAUGUGUGUGAAACCACAGCCAAGAAGCAGCCACAUUGUUCCAGAUUCAGGCAGUAAAAUUGUAGGAGUGAGCACUGCAGAUAGCAUGCCCAACAUGGAGUACGGGGAAACAUGGAGUGUGGGAGACAUGGAGAAACUGCGGUGAAUUCUGACACUUACAUUGAACAUGUUGGAAGUUUGGAGGAAGAUACAUUGUGGGCUCUUUUGUGUUUUUUAUGUAGUUUUAAAAAUAACCCCCCCCCAAACCAGGCCAUAGCAUCUCAGAUGUAGCAUAUUUAUAUUUCCCCAAGUAUAUUCACAAGAUAUAUAUAUAACCUAGGUUGGUAUGGAAAACAAACAAACAUUUUGUUGAUUCUAGCACAAACUCUGAAAGCCAAAACAAACAAACAAACCACUCUGGGGGACAAGGGGAGGGUGACAUCAAGCAGUCCUUUCUAUAGGGGUGGCUGGCUGAGGUCUGGGACUGUGGAGUUGAGAAAAAGCUAAGUAGAUCAUCCUGAACUAAAAGUUACCUUGGGAAACAAGACUUAAAUUCCGGGGUUGAGGUCAUGUGGGGGUCAUCCAGUAUUCCUUUGGAGCAUAGCAUAGCUGAGAACUUAGCAGGACUCAGUCACUUCAGACUGGAGAUUGGGAAAUUUCUUCCCCUGGCGUGCACAGCACCAAACCUGAGUUAAGGUGUCCUUGCCUCUCCCUCAGGAUGCUCAUGACAGAGGUACUGCACUUCCCAACUGCCUUAGGCCCCUCGGGGUGUUGCCAGGCAAAUGAAACAAAAAGAACUCAAUAGUAAAUUAUUUUGUUCAGCCUUCUGUCUUUUUAUGAAAAUAAAAGCCAACACUUUGUCAUUUUUAAUUGCAUAAGCAGACAAUAAAUCUAAUUUCGAUAUUGA